rnacentral:rRNA from 1 species
UGAAGACUCUGCUUGACUAGCUGAGAGGAGGUGCAUGGCCGUCGUCAGUUCGUACUGUGAAGCAUCCUGUUAAGUCAGGCAACGAGCGAGACCCACGCCAACAGUUGCCAGCAUGUCCUCCGGGAUGAUGGGGACACUGUUGGGACCGCCUCUGCUAAAGAGGAGGAAGGAAUGGGCAACGGUAGGUCAGCAUGCCCCGAAUUAUCCGGGCUACACGCGGGCUACAAUGGUCAGGACAAUGGGUAUCGACACCGAGAGGUGGAGGCAAUCUCCUAAACCUGUCCUUAGUUCGGAUUGUGGGCUGCAACUCGCCCACAUGAAGCUGGAAUCCGUAGUAAUCGCGUUUCAAAAUAGCGCGGUGAAUAUGUCCCUGCUCCUU